rnacentral:lncRNA from 1 species
CUGUAAAGUUUUGAUAUAAAUUUGGUUGUUCCAAUUAUGAGAAGAUUUCAAAUAACAACAAAUGUUGGCUCUCAACCUUUUCCUGGACUAGAUGAUAAAACUAAACCUUUUCUGUACCAGAUCAGCCUUGUUUUCAACAUUAAUGGCAGUCCACUUAACAGACCAGGAAAAGUAUUUCACACUCAUAGCAGCUAAUUCUCUCAGCAUAGCAUCUGGCAUUAUACAGUACUCAGAGCAGGACUUAAUAAAAAAUUUAGGGCAAACAGGAGGAUAGCCAAACUACUCAAGAGUUGGCAAAAGAAAUGUACACGAUGUCCAUUACCAUUUCCUUACAAAGGCACAGCAUCCUUUAACUUUCAUCCCCAAUUCUGGGAAAGAAUUCCAUCAAAGUCAUUUGUCUGUUGGCUGCCUCUGUGUUUUAACAGAAGUAUUAUUGGACUUUUAAAAUGAUGUUCCUAGUAUUAAAAAUAUAAUUAAAUGUGGGGCGGGAUUUUAAAGAUGUCUGUGGGGCAGGUGUGUAUGUGUGUGUGUGUGUGUGUGUGAGAGAGAGAGAGAGAGAGAGAGAUGUUGCAGGCACCUACUCCUGCAGGAAAUAGUAACUCAUGAACUUCCCUUUUGCUUCCCCAGCCUCGGCUUUCAGAAGUAACUGCAUCAUCCCAUGUGCCAAGUGAUAGGUGCCAGAAAAAGCAGAUUGCCCUCCCCCAUCUCAGGGACUAUCAAGUCCCACUGCUUUAGUCAACUGCCCAUAUGUCUCUCCUCUCCUCUAACCCAACGACCCAGCGCUUACCAUUUCUUGCUUUGUCAACUGUUAUUUUCUCCUGAACAGCCUUUCUGACUCUCCUGAUUCCCUCUCCAUCUCAUCUUCCAUGCUCCCCUGAGAGUUUCAACAUGGUAAACCCAAUGACGUACCUCCUCCAGGGUUAAGACUUGUGUAGUCUUGCUUACUGGCACUGCAAUGACCAAACCCUAUUUUUUUUUUUUUUUAACAGGACAUCAAAGGAUAAAUUUUAAGCUAGCAGAGCUAAUGGUCAUGAUGGAAUAACACAUAUUUUAAUAUUAUAUAGGGAUAGUUAUUAUGAUAAGAGAGUUUUAAUAGUCAAAAUAUUAUAUGUUCUCUUAGGGUAGGAAUACUCAGCUGCAAGUGAGAUAGCUCACUGUAAUUGUCUUAAUGACGUCCAUCUCUGCUUUGCAGCUCAAUGGUCACAUAAUUCUCAAUGACUAAAGGAAAGGAAGUCACUUUUAGGUAAAUAAGCUCUUUUGCAUCACAUUUAUUAUAUUCCAAAUACAAGUGAUAUCACAUAGUACUAGUCUUUCUUUUCUGACUUAACGUCACU